AGCGGAUAGCGAGAAUCGAACUCGCAUAGUCUGCUUGGAAGGCAGAAAAUUUACCAUUAAUCUAUAUCCGC
rnacentral:tRNA from 2 species